GAAAUUCAUUUUAAUUUAAUAAAAAUACUCCAAACACAAUUUUCAAAAACAUGUAUCAAUUGUUUUUACAUAACAUGAGUACAAAUCAAAAACCCCAGAAUCUCAAAACAUCUCUACUGUAAGUGUGUACUGAUCAUGCCGGCGCCUUCCCGCGAUCAUCACUGGUACCUGAAACACAUAACACACAAACGGUAAGCAAUAAUGCUUAGUGAGUUCCCCAAAAUACCACGUUCAGCACAUACGCCUUUCCAGACCANGGGACCUUCCGAUCCAGGUGUCUCAGGGGAUUUCCAUCCCAUGACUCUGUUGACCUUCCGGUCCAUAUUAUCAUACUCAUAUCAUAACAUAUAACAUAUAAAACAUACAUCACAUUUUCAUCAUACACAUAAGACCUUCUGGUCGCACAUAAUCACCCCAUCGGGUAAGCAUAGUGAGAAGACUCACCUCAAUGAAGUCGGAUAAACUCUCGUGCUCAACAUCGCGACCAAGCCUCCUCCUAUUAUUCAAAUAACAUUCCCGAUCAAUACUCUCCCAUGAUCUCAUCUCUACAGACUGGGUAGAAGGCCAUUCUACGCUUCCCUGAACUCUCCUGAAUCAGUCUUGACCAGAACCCUAAAGUCAACGAAGGUCAACGAUCAACUUUGACCCGACUCGCCGAGUGCACAAAGGUGAAUCGGAGAGUCUAAGUAGGUCCUCUGAAUCCUUUCAGACUCUCUUGGCUCGUCGAGUCUUUCUUCCACUCGACAAGUUACACUUGUCACGAAUCAAGGGGCAACCCCGACUCGACUCGUUGAGUCCGCUCAUGGACUCGGCGAGUUCGUUCCAUGCUCACACUCAAAUGACCUUCUAAGGUCAGAUCUGUUCCUCUAAUCCAUAGAUCUAAUCUUCCCAAGCUCAAUAAUCACGCAAAGGUUCGAACUUGAUGCACAUGCAACGUCCAAAUGACACUACUUGAUGAUUUAGCCCCAAAUACUACAUCCUAAGUCCAUUUCUUCCAUAACUCCUCAUAAAGCAAGAUGGAAUAGGUUCUAUGGACCACUAUGGAUUCAGAUCUGAUGUCUAAACAUUAUAAGGGACCAUAUUCCCGACGAAUCAACCCACUAAAGGGUAUAGAAAACCCUAGAUCCAUUGAUUCUUUAACAAAAUAGAAAAAGGAUCGAUAUGCUACCUUAAGAAUGAUGUUCUUUGCUUGCAAUCCACAAAUAAGCAACCUCCCUGGCUUCCUCUAAGCUGGAAUCAACUUCUUCUUGCAAAACAAACCCACAAAGGUCCAAUAAUGGCUUCUUCUCUCUCACAAACGCUCAAACACUAUAAGGAUUUCUCUCAAUGGUCUGGUAGCCGUAAAUGGUGGCUAUAAGGGUCCUUAAAUAGGCCCCAAACCCGAGAAAUUAGGGUUUCAUUAAACAGCAUGGACUCGCCGAGUCCUCCAUUAAAUUAGGCCAACACAUGCGCGAUCCCACUCGGCGAGUCUAAGCGCCUACUCGCAGAGUCCCUCUUUAAUAUUCAAUAUAAAUACUUAAAAUGAGAUACUUGGGAAUCCGGAUGUUACAAUUCUCCCCCACUAGAAUCAGACUUCGCCCUCGAAGUCUCGCUCUGCAAACAAUUCUGGAUACUGCUCCCGCAUCUCUAACUCUGGCUCCCAAGUCAGCUCGGACCCCUUCCGAUGUUGCCACUAGACCUGAAACAGGGACACCUCCUUGUUUCUUAGAAGCUUGAUUCUCCUAUCUCGGAUUGCGAUCAGCCUCUCAACAUAGUUCAGGCUCGCAUCCACCUGAAUGUCCUCCAAUGGAACCACUGCUGACUCAUCGACAAUACACUUCCUCAACUGAGACACGUGGAAGGUAUCAUGAAUCUGACUCAGCUCGGCAGGUAGCUCCAAACGAUACGCUACUCUUCCCACCCUAGCUGUCACCCUGAAUGGACCGAUAUAUCGAGGUCCCAACUUGCCUCUCUUCCUGAAUCGAAUCAGACCUUUCCAAGGUGAUACCUUCAGGAGAACGAAAUCACCAACCUGAAACUCGAGCUCUGAGCGACGCCUAUCAGCGUAACUCUUCUGGCGACUUUGGGUCGUAAGCAACCUCUGCAUGACCUGCUGAAUCUGCUCAGUCGUCUGGAGUACUAUCUCUGUACUACCCAUCACCCGCUGUCCUACCUUUCCCCAACAAAUAGGAGUCUGACACCUCCUUCCAUACAACAGCUCGAAGGGAGGCAUACCGAUGCUCGAAUGAUGGCUGUUGUUAUAGGAAAACUCAGCCAAAGGCAGAUACGUGCCCUAACUUCCCCCGAAAUCUAAUACACAUGCCCGAAGCAUGUCCUCGAGUGUCUGGAUAGUCGGCUCACUCUGACCGUCGGUCUGAGGGUGAUAAGCAGUGCUGAAAUGCAACCUCGUACCCAACUCCUCAUGAAACUUCUUCUAGAACCUGGAAGUAAAACGUACAUCUCGAUCUGACACAAUCGAAAUCGGCAUCCCAUGUCGAGACACCACCUCCUUCACAUAUAUUUCUGCCAACUUGUCUACGGAAGAACUCUCAUUGAUAGCAAGGAAGUGAGGAAUUUUCGUCAAUCGAUCCACAAUCACCCAAAUUGCAUCGACACCCCUUGGGGUUCUUGGCAGUUUGGUGGUGAAAUCCAUAGAAAUAUGUUCCUACUUCCACUGGGGAACCUCAAGUGGCUGCAACUUGCCAUGCGGACGCUGGGGCUCGGCCUUAACCUGACGACAGGUCAAGUACCUCUCUACAACCCACGCAACAUCUCUCUUCAUACAAGGCCACCAAUAGUCUCUCUUCAGAUCCAAAUAAAUUUUUGUGGCCCCAGGAUGGAUCGAGAAUCUUGACCUAUGCACCUCCUCCAUCAAAACACUGCGUUCCCCACCAAUAAACGACACCCAGAUCCGACCACGAAAAGUCAUAAGCCCUUGGCUAUCAGUCACAAACUCAGAUACCUGCCCAAUCACUCGCUCCUUCUUGCGGUUCUCUGGUCUCACAGCCUCUGCCUGAGCCUCACGAAUGGUAUCUAACACCAGAGUCUUCACGGUCAUUCUCAUACACAUACCUCGUAUCGGAACACUCUCUGCCCUCCGACUCAGGGUAUCGGCUUCCACAUUCGCCUUGCCCGGGUGGUACAGGAUCUCACAAUCAUAAUCCUUCACCACAUCCAACCAUCUCCUCUGCCGCAUAUUCAGGUUGGGCUGAUCCAUCAAAUACAUCAAACUCUUGUGGUCUGGAUAAAUUGUACACCAAACCCCGUACAAAUAGUGGCGCCAGAUCUUGAGGGCGAACACUACUGCUCCCAGCUCUAGGUCGUAAGUGGGAUAUCUAGCCUCAUGAGGCUUCAGCUGCCUCGAUGCAUAUGCUAUCACAUGCCCCCUCUGCAUAAGCACUGCACCCAACCCUGAUAUCGAUGCAUCGCAGUAUACCACAAAAUCCUCAACUCCCUCUGGAAGGGAUAACACAGGGGCUUCGCACAACUUCCGGUGAAGAGUCUCAAACGAGGUCUGCUGCUCUGGACCCCAUGAAAAAGCAACACCCUUCUGGGUGAACCUAGGGAGUGGCACUGCAAUCUUGGAGAAAUCCUGAAUGAAUCUCCGAUAAUAACCGGCCAACCCCAGAAAACUCCUGAUCUCUGUGGCAGACUUCGGCACUUCCCAACUUAUCACCGCCUCAAUCUUGGCCGGGUCGACCAAUAUCCCAUUUUGAUUAACAAGAUGCCCCAAGAAUUGGACCUCUUGUAACCAAAAAUCACACUUGGAGAAUUUGGCAUAAAGCCUUUCCGACCUCAAUACCCCGAGGAUCUCCCUCAAAUGCUCCUCAUGCUGUUCUCGGGAUCUAGAAUACACUAGAAUAUCAUCAAUAAACACGAUCACCGAUCGAUCCAACAUCGGCCAACAUACUCUGUUCAUGAGAUCCAUGAACGCUGCUGGUGCAUUGGUGAGCUCAAAAGGCAUCACCACAAACUCAUAAUGCCCAUAUCGAGUCCUGAACACUGUCUUCUGGAUAUCCUCAUCACGCACCCUCAUCUGGUGAUAUCCAGACCUCAAGUCUAUCUUGGUAAACCAAGAUGCCCCCUGAAGCUGAUCGAACAAAUCAUCAAUCCUCGGCCACGGAUAAUGGUUAUUGAUCGUUAACUUAUUUAACUCCCGAUAAUCAAUGCACAUCCGGUGUGAACUAUCCUUUUUCUUGACAAAAAGGAUCGGCGCUCCCCACGGCGAGCUACUCGGCCGAAUAAACCCCUUCCCCAACAGCUCCUGAAGCUGCGAUGAUAACUCCUGCAUCUCUGGAGGCGCAAGGCGAUAGGGCUCCUUGGCGAUAGGUGCUGCCCCCAGAACCAAAUCGAUAUGGAACUCUACCUGCCUCUCGGGAGGCACACCCAACAACUCCUCGGGGAAAACGUCCGUGAACUCGCACACUAUUGGAACCUCGCCAACUGAUCUCGGUCUCUCCGAACCAAUCCUCGUAUCCAUCAUAUAAGCUACGAACCCCUUGCAGCCCUGCUGCAAACUCUGCCUUGCUCUGGCAGCUGAACAGAACACUGACCCACUUCGAGUUCCCUCGCCAUAGACUGUCAGCACUCCCCCAGUAGGAUCUUGAAUCGUAACCAAUUCCUGCUCGUAGUCUAUCACAGCGCCAAAUCGGCUCAACCAAUCCAUGCCCAUGAUGACACAUACGCCGAAAAUCUCUAGCACACACCCUCAAAUCACGUAUGUGGCAUACACUGCUCGCUCGUUAGCUAUAGAAACUCGUAGAGGUCGACUCAUCGCCUCUCGCUGGAUACUGAUGUGUCUACUGAAUGCUAAUGAAACAAAUGACCGACUUGCACCCGAGUCAAACAAUACCAAAGCAGGUACAAAGUUCACAAGGAAAAUACCUACGCAUAUCAUAAUAUAAACAAAAGAUCUCAUCAUAAACAAAUAAUAACAGAAUACAUACCAGCCACGACGUUGGGUGCUGCGCGGACCUCCUCCGCUGUCAACUGGAGGGCUCCCCCGCGAGCCUUUGGUGCCUUGGCCUUCACUGGCCGAACCUCAGUAGCGCGCACGGCGGCAGGGGCAGAUCCUUGUUGUGCUCCCUGUGCUGUCCCCCGCAGCUGCGGACACUCGGCCUUCCGAUGGCCCGUCUGGUUGCAAUGAAAGCAAACCAUGAAUCCCUUAGGGCAGUCCUUGGGUAUAUGCCCCUCCUUGCCACAUUUGUAGCAAGAACCAGAUCGAAAAACUCCAUCGUGUCCUUUGCCGCACUUUCCGCAAGUGCGGCCCUUCUGGCAUCCAGCUCUCGAAUCGGCGGGCUUUGCCCGCUUAGCUGCUGGCUGAGACUGUGCCGACCGCCUAUUCAACCCCUGAGACUCGGCCUCCUCCAUAGCCUGGAUCUCCAACUCAAUCUCCCUCUUCCCGGCAUUUUCCUGAAGCUCAGCAAAUGUCCGUUAUGUCGAGUUCGAUGUGAACUCCUGAAUGUCCCUCCUCAGAAUGCUCAAGUACCAGCUCAUGCGCGGCUGCUCAGACGACACGUGCUCAGGGCAGAACAUCGCCCUCUCAUGAAACUUCCUGGUGAUCACAGUAACUGACUCAGUACCCUGCUUGAGGGUCAAGAACACAUGGGCCAACCGUUCCCUUUCCACCGAGGGAACGUACUCGUCUCUGAACAUAGUGGUGAACCUCUCCCAGGUCACCGCUGAGAUCUCCGCAGAAGUAAGAUGCGCCGUCACAAAUUUCCACCAAUCCUUCGCUCCCAAGCGAAGCUGGUUCAAUGCAAACCGAACCCUCAGAUGCUCUGGAUACAAACAAGUGUAGAAGCAUCCCUCAAUAUCAGAUAUCCAUCUCAUCGCUGCAAUCGGAUCCUGCGUCCCAUCAAACUCUGGUGGCUUCGUGUUGCUCAACUCCUAAUACAGCAACGAGUCACCCCCUGUGGCUUGGCAGCAACGACGACUGCGGUGGCCUCGGCAACAGCAGCGUCAGUAAGAGCGGCGUACCGCUCAUCAAAAGUCUCAAUCAGUGUGGUCUUGAUAGACCCGAACAUCUCUGGUAUCUCAGCUCAGAUGGCCACAACCACCUCAUCAUGAAUCAUCUGGCGGAGCUCCUCAUCGCUCACACCCUCCUCGCUAGUCCCCGGUCUGUGGCGUGUCCCAACCAUGAUGCCUAUGAAAUACAACAUAAAAAUAAGAGAAUCGCUCGAGUAUACUUGCACUCGAUAACUCAACCCUACUUGCUCCCUAGUACCCUAAGGAUUCUUACUUGGAAUGCACACUGAUCCAGUGUCUUCGGUAGCACGGGCCCAAUACUACCACCCACACCGCAUCAACAUUCACCCCAAGUCCUCCUCCUAGGAUCCCAGCUCACAAAUACUCUAUGUCUCGCUAGCAUAGGCUACCCUUCGGUAAGCCUCUCAUAAGCUCCUCACUGCUACCUACUCGCUCUCAAGCACCUCUUAGCAACAGAAAUCUCCUAGGAUAAAGCAUCAUAAAUCAGGCCACUCUAGUCCUAACAUGAAUACCUAGCCUACUCUAGCAUGCAUAACAUAUCAUAUCAUAUCUCAUAACACAUAAUGUAAGGGUAUUUUGGGAAAUCACCGUUCGGGCACUGGCUGAUCAUACACACUGCUUCUUUCUGCUUUCCUCAAAUUCUUUUACAUUUUGGAAAAUUGUUUCUUUUAUGAAAAUGUUUCUCAAAUCCUCAGUUUGAGUUCAAAUACACCCGAAGGUGAAUCCGAAUCCCUCAAACCAAGGCUUUGAUACCAACUUGUAACACCGUGAAAUUUCAAAACAAAUUUUCAUUUUAAUUUAAUAAAAAUACUCUAAACAUAGUUUUCAAAAACAUGCAUCAAUUGUUUUUACAUAACAUGAGUACAAAUCAAAAACCCCAGAAUCUCAAAACAUCUCCACCGUAAGUGUGUACUGAUCAUGUCGGCACCUUCCCACGAUUAUCACUGGUACCUGAAACACAUAACACACAAACGGUAAGCAAUAAUGCU
rnacentral:lncRNA from 1 species